GUGAAUCAUCGAAUCUUUGAACGCAUAUUGCACUCUCUUCGGAGAGUAUGCCUGUUUGAGGGUCAGCCUAUAAAAAAUCGACAUCGUCGCUGUUUCGCGGUGACAUUCGUCGGAAAUUGGGUCAUCUUAAACCUUUGUGUUUUAUGCGGCUUAUAAUUUUCUUUACGAUGCUACGUGCAUUUCUA
rnacentral:misc_RNA from 1 species